rnacentral:rRNA from 1 species
AUGGAAUCAUUUCCGCCAAAUAUGACAUUCAGAAGGGAUUUAUUUGGACCCAGACUACAAUCGUGGAACAUCCUGCUCCAGCGGUUGUCCACGGUGCAAUUGUCACAUGGGUCUGAUGUAUUCCGAUGGAACCUACAUGGGAAUGGACAGUUCUCAGUAGAGUCUAUGUAUAGAGCGUUAAUCCAGUCUGAUGUGCCAGUUGAUAAUAACAAGAAGAUCUGGAAGAUGAAAAUACCGCUUAAGAAUAAAAUCUUCGCAUGGUAUCUUCGUCGUGGAGUCAUUCUUACUAAAGAUAACCUUAUUAAGAGGAAUUGGCAUGGAAGUCCGCAAUGUGUCUUUUGUCACCAUGAUGAGACAAUAAAACAUUUAUUCUUUCAAUGCAAAUCGGCUCGUUCUAUAUGGUCAGUCAUCCAAAUAGCUUCUGGCUUGUAUCCUCCUUGUAGUGUUGCUAAUGUGUUUGGCAACUGGCUACAUGGGAUUGAUCACAGGUUUAGAACCCUUCUCAGAGUGGGAGCGCUUGCCGUUAUUUGGUCGCUUUGA